UGGGGAAUUUUGGACAAUGGGGGCAACCCUGAUCCAGCCAUGCCGCGUGAGUGAAGAAGGCCUUCGGGUUGUAAAGCUCUUUCAGCCGGGAAGAAAUCGCAUCAGCUAAUACCUGGUGUGGAUGACGGUACCGGAAUAAGAAGCACCGGCUAACUACGUGCCAGCAGCCGCGGUAAUACGUAGGGUGCGAGCGUUAAUCGGAAUUACUGGGCGUAAAGCGUGCGCAGGCGGUUGUGUAAGACAGGCGUGAAAUCCCCGGGCUCAACCUGGGAACUGCGUUUGUGACUGCACAGCUAGAGUAUGGCAGAGGGGGGUGGAAUUCCACGUGUAGCAGUGAAAUGCGUAGAGAUGUGGAGGAACACCGAUGGCGAAGGCAGCCCCCUGGGCCAAUACUGACGCU
rnacentral:rRNA from 1 species